rnacentral:rRNA from 1 species
CAGCUCUCCGAGUAGUAUGGACGUUUAUUGGGCCUAAAGCAUCCGUAGCUUGCUAGAUAAGUCCUCUGUUAAAUCCACCGAUUCAAUCGUUGGAUUGCGGGGGAUACUGUUUGGCUAGGGGACGGGAGAGGUCGACGGUAUUUCCGGGGUAGGGGUGAAAUCCUAUAAUCCCGGGAGGACCACCAGUGGCGAAGGCUGUCGACUAGAACGCGCCCGACGGUGAGGGAUGAAAGCUGGGGGAGCGAACCGGAUUAGAUACCCGUGUAGUCC